GAAGCCGCUGCCAGUCUGUGCAGACAAUACUGAGCUAGAUAGACCAAUGGUCUGACUCAGUAUACAGAAGCUUCCUAUGUUCCUAUGUUUUCUUUGAAGUCUCACUGUGUUCACUUGCAGCCUCUGGUCCUCUGCAACUCUCUUGGAAAUGAAGCCUUGAUGCAGAGACAUAGAGACCACCCAGAAGUUUUCCAGAAGAUGGUAGACUACAUCGGAGCUUUCGGAAGACUGCUGACCUAAGGGGCUCAUUUUGAACAAUGACUCCUAGGAGUUAUUAUAGAUGGUGGUGCAAUACACCAAUCCCAGAAGACCGAGGUACAAGGUAGGGGUGUGCAAGCUGGCUCAGCUCAACGGGUUCAGCGUUGAACCGAGCCCGGCUAGAACCAAGCCAGU